rnacentral:rRNA from 1 species
GACGUAGGGCGCGAGCGUUGUCCGGAUUUAUUGGGCGUAAAGAGCUCGUAGGCGGCUUGUCGCGUCGUCCGUGAAAACUUGGGGCUCAACCCCGAGCUUGCAGUCGAUACGGGCAGGCUAGAGUUCGGCAGGGGAGACUGGAAUUCCUGGUGUAGCGGUGAAAUGCGCAGAUAUCAGGAGGAACACCGGUGGCGAAGGCGGGUUGCUGGGCCGACACUGACGCUGAUGCGCGAAAGCCAGGGGAGCGAACGGG